UGUGCUUUUGGUUGGGUGCUUUUGGUCAGAUUGUUUUAUUUGAACUAUCCCCAUUACUACCGGCUCGAGCUACAAAUUAAACAAAGCCAUAUUUAUGGUUUACAGGAGGAUGUUCAUAAUGGAACAAGGUACAGUUAAAUGGUUUAACGCUGACAAGGGUUUUGGUUUUAUCACUCGCGAAGAUGGUAGUGACGUAUUCGUUCACUUCUCAGCUAUCCAAGGCGACGGAUUCAAGACUCUUGAAGAAGGCCAAUCAGUUUCUUUCGACGUUGAAGAAAGCGACCGUGGACCACAAGCAGUUAACGUAAACAAAAACUAAUUUAAAUUUUAAAUAGUUAUGAAGGUAGGAAGCUUCGGCGACCUACCUUUUU
rnacentral:sRNA from 1 species